AGCGAACGCUGGCGGCAGGCCUAACACAUGCAAGUCGAACGAACUCUUCGGAGUUAGUGGCGGACGGGUGAGUAACACGUGGGAACGUGCCUUUUGGUUCGGAAUAACUCAGGGAAACUUGUGCUAAUACCGAAUGUGCCCUUCGGGGGAAAGAUUUAUCGCCAUUAGAGCGGCCCGCGUCUGAUUAGCUAGUUGGUGAGGUAACGGCUCACCAAGGCGACGAUCAGUAGCUGGUCUGAGAGGAUGACCAGCCACACUGGGACUGAGACACGGCCCAGACUCCUACGGGAGGCAGCAGUGGGGGAUCUUGCGCAAUGGGCGAAAGCCUGACGCAGCCAUGCCGCGUGAAUGAUGAAGGUCUUAGGAUUGUAAAAUUCUUUCACCGGGGACGAUAAUGACGGUACCCGGAGAAGAAGCCCCGGCUAACUUCGUG
rnacentral:rRNA from 1 species